rnacentral:rRNA from 1 species
GACGAACGCUGGCGGCGUGCCUAAUACAUGCAAGUUGAGCGCUGAAGGUUGGUACUUGUACCAACUGGAUGAGCAGCGGACGGGUGAGUAACGCGUGGGGAAUCUGCCUUUGAGCGGGGGACAACAUUUGGAAACGAAUGCUAAUACCGCAUAAAAACUUUAAACACAAGUUUUAAGUUUGAAAGAUGCAAUUGCAUCACUCAAAGAUGAUCCCGCGUUGUAUUAGCUAGUUGGUGAGGUAAAGGCUCACCAAGGCGAUGAUACAUAGCCGACCUGAGAGGGUGAUCGGCCACAUUGGGACUGAGACACGGCCCAAACUCCUACGGGAGGCAGCAGUAGGGAAUCUUCGGCAAUGGACGAAAGUCUGACCGAGCAACGCCGCGUGAGUGAAGAAGGUUUUCGGAUCGUAAAACUCUGUUGGUAGAGAAGAACGUUGGUGAGAGUGGAAAGCUCAUCAAGUGACGGUAACUACCCAGAAAGGGACGGCUAACUACGUGCCAGCAGCCGCGGUAAUACGUAGGUCCCGAGCGUUGUCCGGAUUUAUUGGGCGUAAAGCGAGCGCAGGUGGUUUAUUAAGUCUGGUGUAAAAGGCAGUGGCUCAACCAUUGUAUGCAUUGGAAACUGGUAGACUUGAGUGCAGGAGAGGAGAGUGGAAUUCCAUGUGUAGCGGUGAAAUGCGUAGAUAUAUGGAGGAACACCGGUGGCGAAAGCGGCUCUCUGGCCUGUAACUGACACUGAGGCUCGAAAGCGUGGGGAGUAAACAGGAUUAGAUACCCUGGUAGUCCACGCCGUAAACGAUGAGUGCUAGAUGUAGGGAGCUAUAAGUUCUCUGUAUCGCAGCUAACGCAAUAAGCACUCCGCCUGGGGAGUACGACCGCAAGGUUGAAACUCAAAGGAAUUGACGGGGGCCCGCACAAGCGGUGGAGCAUGUGGUUUAAUUCGAAGCAACGCGAAGAACCUUACCAGGUCUUGACAUACUCGUGCUAUUCCUAGAGAUAGGAAGUUCCUUCGGGACACGGGAUACAGGUGGUGCAUGGUUGUCGUCAGCUCGUGUCGUGAGAUGUUGGGUUAAGUCCCGCAACGAGCGCAACCCCUAUUGUUAGUUGCCAUCAUUAAGUUGGGCACUCUAACGAGACUGCCGGUGAUAAACCGGAGGAAGGUGGGGAUGACGUCAAAUCAUCAUGCCCCUUAUGACCUGGGCUACACACGUGCUACAAUGGAUGGUACAACGAGUCGCGAGACAGUGAUGUUUAGCUAAUCUCUUAAAACCAUUCUCAGUUCGGAUUGUAGGCUGCAACUCGCCUACAUGAAGUCGGAAUCGCUAGUAAUCGCGGAUCAGCACGCCGCGGUGAAUACGUUCCCGGGCCU